rnacentral:rRNA from 1 species
UUAGAGUUUGAUCCUGGCUCAGGAUGAACGCUAGCGGCAGGCUUAACACAUGCAAGUCGAGGGGCAGCAUGCGGGUUAGCAAUAACCUGUGAUGGCGACCGGCGCAAGGGUGCGUAACGCGUGAGCAACUUGCCCUCAUCAGGGGGAUAACCACUGGAAACGGUGACUAAUACCCCAUGGCAUGCAAUCCGGGCAUCCGGUUUGCAUUAAAGAGUUUCGGAUGAGGAUAGGCUCGCGUGACAUUAGAUAGAUGGCGGGGUAACGGCCCACCAUGUCGACGAUGUCUAGGGGUUCUGAGAGGAAGGUCCCCCACACUGGAACUGAGACACGGUCCAGACUCCUACGGGAGGCAGCAGUGAGGAAUAUUGGUCAAUGGUCGCAAGACUGAACCAGCCAUGCCGCGUGAAGGAGACGGCCCUAUGGGUCUUAAACUUCUUUUGUAAGGGAGCAAUAAGUUCCACGUGUGGGACGAUGAGAGUACCUUACGAAUAAGCAUCGGCUAACUCCGUGCCAGCAGCCGCGGUAAUACGGGGGAUGCAAGCGUUAUCCGGAUUUAUUGGGUUUAAAGGGUGCGUAGGCGGCUUGUUAAGUCAGCGGUGAAAUUUAGGGGCUCAACCUCUACCGUGCCGUUGAUACUGGCGAGCUAGAAUGCGGAUGCCGUGGGAGGAAUGUGUGGUGUAGCGGUGAAAUGCAUAGAUAUCACACAGAACACCGAUUGCGAAGGCAUCUCACGAAUCCGCAAUUGACGCUGAUGCACGAAAGCGUGGGGAUCAAACAGGAUUAGAUACCCUGGUAGUCCACGCUGUAAACGAUGAUGACUAACCGUCGGCGAUACACAGUCGGUGGCCAAGCGAAAGCGAUAAGUCAUCCACCUGGGGAGUACGACCGCAAGGUUGAAACUCAAAGGAAUUGACGGGGGCCCGCACAAGCGGAGGAACAUGUGGUUUAAUUCGACGCAACGCGAAGAACCUUACCAGGGCUUGACAUCCCACUAACGAAGUAGAGAUACAUUAGGUGCCCUUCGGGGAAAGUGGAGACAGGUGGUGCAUGGUUGUCGUCAGCUCGUGUCGUGAGAUGUUGGGUUAAGUCCCGCAACGAGCGCAACCCCUAUUGUUAGUUGCUACGCAAGAGCACUCUAGCGAGACUGCCGUUGACAAAACGGAGGAAGGCGGGGACGACGUCAAAUCAUCAUGCCCCUUAUGCCCUGGGCUACACACGUAAUACAAUGGCGGCCAACAAAGCGAAGCAAGACCGCGAGGUGGAGCAAAUCGCAAAAAGCCGUCCCAGUUCGGAUUGCAGGCUGCAACUCGCCUGCAUGAAGUUGGAAUUGCUAGUAAUCGUGGAUCAGCAUGCCACGGUGAAUACGUUCCCGGGCCUUGCACACACCACCCGUCAAG